AGCGAACGCUGGCGGCAGGCUUAACACAUGCAAGUCGAGCGGGCACUUUCGGGUGUCAGCGGCGGACGGGUGAGUAACGCGUGGGAACGUGCCCUCUGGUUCGGAAUAACUCAGGGAAACUUGAGCUAAUACCGGAUACGCCCUUUUGGGGAAAGGCUUGCUGCCGGAGGAUCGGCCCGCGUCUGAUUAGUUGGUUGGUGAGGUAACGGCUCACCAAGGCGACGAUCAGUAGCUGGUCUGAGAGGAUGAUCAGCCACACUGGGACUGAGACACGGCCCAGACUCCUACGGGAGGCAGCAGUGGGGAAUAUUGGACAAUGGGCGCAAGCCUGAUCCAGCCAUGCCGCGUGAGUGAUGAAGGCCUUAGGGUUGUAAAGCUCUUUUAUCCGGGACGAUAAUGACGGUACCGGAGGAAUAAGCCCCGGCUAACUUCGUG
rnacentral:rRNA from 1 species